rnacentral:snRNA from 8 species
AUACUUACCUGGCAAGGGAGAUACCGUGAUCAAGAAGGCGGUUCACCCAGGGCGAGGCUCAGCCAUUGCACUCCGGCUGUGCUGACCCCUGCGAAUUUCCCAAAUGUGGAAAUCUCGAUUGCAUAAUUUAUGGUAGUGGGGGACUGCGCUCGCCCCUG